UGACAAUUGGCUUUAUUUCUUUUAAACAAUCACUAAAGCAAGUUUCAAAUGUGAAUGAAUUAACAAAGCACAAAGUAUUAAAAAGUCUACACAGCAUUUCUAUUUAAAAAAAGACCCCAUUUAUGUGAAAAAGGAAUUAAAGGAAUUGGAAAUGAAAAACUGACACUUAAUUCACCAUGGUUCUCAUCAAUCAGUCUAAUCCCCAAGGAAGAAUUUCAGUCCCAGCUUUCUCAAGGUACUGCUCUGUGGUUCAACU
rnacentral:lncRNA from 1 species